rnacentral:rRNA from 14 species
AUUAGAUACCCUGGUAGUCCACGCCGUAAACGAUGAUUACUCGCUGUUUCCUUCGGGGAGUGGCCAAGCGAAAGCGAUAAGUAAUCCACCUGGGGAGUACGUCCGCAAGGAUAAAACUCAAAGGAAUUGACGGGGGCCCGCACAAGCGGUGGAGUAUGUGGUUUAAUUCGAUGCAACGCGAAGAACCUUACCUAGGCUUGACAUGCACGGAAAUCCUCCAGAGAUGGUGGGUCCGCAAGGGUCGUGCACAGGUGGUGCAUGGUUGUCGUCAGCUCGUGUCGUGAGAUGUUCGGUUAAGUCCGGCAACGAGCGCAACCCACAUCCUUAGUUGCCAGCAGUUCGGCUGGGCACUCUAGGGAAACUGCCCGUGAUAAGCGGGAGGAAGGUGUGGAUGACGUCAAGUCCUCAUGGCCCUUACGGGCUGGGCUACACACGUGCUACAAUGGCAUCUACAAUGGGUUAAUCCCCAAAAGAUGUCUCAGUUCGGAUUGGGGUCUG